AUUGAACGCUGGCGGCAUGCCUAACACAUGCAAGUCGAGCGAGCGGCGGACGGGUGAGUAAUGUAUGGGGACUGCCCGAUAGAGGGGGAUAACUACUGGAAACGGUAGCUAAUACCGCAUACUAUCGGAUAACCCAUAUGGGAUUAGCUAGUAGGUGAGGUAAUGGCUCACCUAGGCGACGAUCCCUAGCUGGUCUGAGAGGAUGAUCAGACAAACGUGGAAUGGGACACGGCCCAGACUCCGACGGAGGCAGCAGUGGGGAAUAUUGAAACAUGGGCGAAAGCAGGAUGCAGCCAUGCCGCGUGUAUGAAGAAGGCCCUAGGGGUGUAAAGUACUUUCAGUCGGGAGGAGGUACCGACAGAAGAAGCACCGGCUAACUCCGUGCCAGCAGCCGAGGUAACUC
rnacentral:rRNA from 1 species